UCCAAUCUCUCGAGGGUGUAAGUCAUGUCGAAUAUCUAAUUCUAUAAGGUCUCUGCGGCUUUUGAGAUUAUCUUUGCUUUUCAUCUUCACAUUCAUUACUGUAUUGAAAAUAUUAUCAAAAACAUUUUUCUCAACAUGCAUUACAUCAACAUUGUGACGAAAAAGUAAUGAACUCCAAUACGGCAAUUCGAAAAAAAUACUUCUUUUCGUCCAAUUGUGUGUCUUUCCAAAAUUUGUCAAUUUUCUUUUAUCAUUACUUCCUCCAAAAAACACAUCAUCUUUUAAAGGUAAACAUAAUUCUAUUUCUUUUCCAUCAAUACGUUCA
rnacentral:lncRNA from 1 species